rnacentral:rRNA from 1 species
GACGAACGCUGGCGGCGUGCUUAACACAUGCAAGUCGAACGGAAAGGCCUUUUCGGAGGUACUCGAGUGGCGAACGGGUGAGUAACACGUGGGUGAUCUGCCCUGCACUCUGGGAUAAGCCUGGGAAACUGGGUCUAAUACCGGAUAGGACCGCACUUUAGUGUGUGUGGUGGAAAGUUUUUUCGGUGUAGGAUGAGCCCGCGGCCUAUCAGCUUGUUGGUGGGGUAAUGGCCUACCAAGGCGGCGACGGGUAGCCGGACUGAGAGGUUGGUCGGCCACAUUGGGACUGAGAUACGGCCCAGACUCCUACGGGAGGCAGCAGUGGGGAAUAUUGCACAAUGGGCGCAAGCCUGAUGCAGCGACGCCGCGGGGGGGAUGACGGCCUUCGGGUUGUAAACUCCGUUCGCCAGGGACGAAGCGUUUUGUGACGGUACCUGGAGAAGAAGCACCGGCUAACUACGUG